rnacentral:lncRNA from 1 species
CUUACUUUUCCAGAGCCCCCAGCCCGAGACAGAGCCUUCCGGUGUGUCAGCUGAAGAGGUGCUCACCUUCGGUGUGUCAGCUGAAGAGGUGCUCACCUUAUCACACCCAGCCCACGGAGCCUGAUAAAGAAAAUGAGAAUCUCAGCCAUAAAAAAAGACAAAGCCAUGCCAUUUUCAAGAACAUGGAUGGACCUUGAGGUUUCAUGUGCAGCCAGCAACCGUAGAAUUAUGAGGCCCUGAAACUGCUUCACAAAUAACCAAGAGGGCUGAGUUCCUGAGGAAGGAAGAAAUUGCAUAAUAAAACAAUCCGAAAACUCCCCUCUUGUUCUGGUCUUAGGGAGUGGCACAAAUUCAAAGCUUCAGGACGGCCCCUCCCUGGCUCUGCGGCGCAUCUCCCACCUUUGAACAGCCAGAGAGCACUUUCUCCCAGGGUCACCAACUUGUCCCAGUUUGCCUGGGACCGUCCCAGUUUUAAAAUCGAAAAUCCAAUAUUCCAAGACCCCCCCGCCUUGGUCCUAGGCAAACCAGGACAGUUGGUCACCCCACUCUCACU